rnacentral:rRNA from 1 species
ACGCACGCUGGCGGCGUGCCUAAUCCAUGCAAGUAGAACGCUGAAGGCGGAGCUUGCUUCUCUGGAUGAGUUGCGAACGGGUGAGUAACGCGUAGGUAACCUGCCUCGUAGCGGGGGAUAACUAUUGGAAACGAUAGCUAAUACCCCAUAAGAGUAUAUGUUGCCUGACAUUUGCUUAAAAGGUGCAAUUGCAUCACUACCAGAUGGACCUGCGUUGUAUUAGCUAGUUGGUGGGGUAACGGCUCACCAAGGCGACGAUACAUAGCCGACCUGAGUGGGUGAUCGGCCACACUGGGACUGAGACACGGCCCAGACUCCUACGGGAGGCAGCAGUAGGGAAUCUUCGGCAAUGGAUGGAAGUCUGACCGAGCAACGCCGCGUGAGUGAAGAAGGUUUUCGGAUCGUAAAGCUCUGUUGUAAGAGAAGAACGAGUGUGAGAGUGGAAAGUUCACACUGUGACGGUAUCUUACCAGAAAGGGACGGCUAACUACGUG